rnacentral:rRNA from 1 species
GUCUCAGGCCGUAUCAGCCUGAAAGGCGCCGGAUCUCGUCUGAUCUCGGAAAGCUAAGCAGGGUGGGGCCUGGUUAGGAUCUUGGAUGGGAGACCACCUGGGAAUCCCGGGUGCUCGAGGCU